AUAGAGAAAAGGCAAAGUCGCUGAAAGGUGAUGACGCAAAGCUACGGGUCUAAAGCCGAAAGGCCAUGAUCGCCGGGUUACCGAC
rnacentral:ncRNA from 1 species